CGUCACUCGAAUCCAACUUGGAGUCUGAAGAAGCGGCAAAAGAAGUGGGAGACAUAUUGGACUUAAUUGAAGAACGAGAGCGACGGAUACAGGCACAUUGGUCACAAACAGUUUGAGGGUGUCAUCCCAAAAAACUGGAUAUAGGAAGAAGGAAAUGUUGUGCGAUGGCCAAAGAAAAGUGUGCAUUCAGCCCAUAAAAAAAGGACCCAGACGAUGACUGGAACACGUUCCCACUUGUGAAAAUAAAGACAAUAUCAGACAAUGAGAAAGAUUGUGAAGACUAUAACUACACUUUAUCAGCCCAAACUGACCAUGAGGGUUCCACCAUUGUGCCAGAAGAAAUCAGGAAGAGACAUGUAAAGAAGAGGACAUAUGAUUUUGUUGAUGAUAAGGAUACAGGUUUGCAUGCAUAUCCAAAGCCUCCUGAAAUCCAGAAGAACGAAUUUGCUUCUGCUACCAUCGAUCAAACCACUCCUAAGGAAUCCACCAUGGAUAAUGACGUGUGUACUUGGACUAGACGGCUGCCAAAUUCAUCCAGAGGAUGCUGAAAGUGAACAUGACAGCAGACAUGUUACAGCAUUUUCCUGUCUUCCUGUUCCACACAUGCCAUCUUGGUGUUACAGGGUUGUCAAGGUCAAGGGAGCGUUCCAACUCCCCCCGAUCACCAAUCAAGUCAUGGAAGUGAUGGAGGAUAUUCCACUUCUUGUUCUCAGUCAUCAGUGGGCUCAACUCCCAGACGCUCUUCUUCCAGAUAUGGGCAGUCCUGCUCUAGAAGGGAGCGUCCCAACUCGUCCAAUCACCGAUCAAGCCAUCAAAGUCCUACACCUUCCACUCUAGGACACUCAACAUCCAGACAUGGCUGAUGACAAACUCCCUGAUGUCUUCAUUCAAUAUGUAGGGCCACGGUUCCAAAAGGGCAUUCCAACCGACAGAACUUUACGCCAUUGUGACAGGACGAAGAUGAAGAGCUGGUGAAAGCCAUGGCUCAAGCAUCUCUCCAACCAUAAUCGUGGGCCUGCUCCACCAACAUCAGCUGCAGAGCUGCUCCAUCUUCAGGUUCAGAGAAAAGUUCUUAAAUAUGUCCUGCCUCAAAGGGCAUUUUGGGACUGCAUGUGUUCUUGUCACGUUCUGCUUUUGUUCCUUUCAUGUGUGUUCUACCUCCAGUCCAAGUGACUGACUAUGAAUUGAUACAGUCUACGAGCGGGUACUGUUAUAUUUCAUAUGGCCUGACCAUCACACAAAAACAAAUCUGAUUCAUAUAAACAAAAAGCCAACCAUUCAACUAUGGAGUAGAAGUAACAAAUGGCAAUUGCAAGUCUACUAAUGACGCUGAAACUACAGGAUUCAAAUUUAUCUGUCAUCAUGUUUCAUCUGCUUUUGGACACACAAUUUGCACCGGCCUCAUGAGAUGGUAAAGGCUUUAAGUGAUGUUUGACCAUUUCAAUCCAAAAUGGCAGCAGUUACACUAAAAUGCACCUUCAGCUCCUUCUCCUUUUGUAGCUCUAGCUGUGCUACCUCCAAAGAUACCAGUGCCUUUUCCACGGGAGUUGAUGUUUUUGCUAUCUGAGAGGCCAGAGGAGGCUCUGUGGUCUAACCAGCGACCAUUCCAACUCACAGCUGACAUCGACAGGCCAUCUCCACAGUUUCUGCCCUACUACCAGGAGGUAAAAAAGUGGAAUUGCACCCACCAGCAGGAAAAAUAUGGAUGAAGCUAGAGUUAGAGUCAUGGGUCUGUGGCCUGCCCUGUCAACAAUCCCAUGAAGACCUUCUUCCUGUGGCGCUUCUUCUUCCAGCUUGGACUGAUUGACAGUAUUCAUGAUCUGCUGUCACCCCAAGUGUUUUCAUCUUCAUCCCUUUUUCAUCUGGAAGCCAGAGAAUGACUACUUGAUGGGGCAGCUGAAAAACAACUACAGUACACUCUGCCAUGCACUGGUGGUGUGUGAAGGCCCAUGUUGUCUCUGCUGGAGUCGGGAAACCGCGAGUGAUUGUGGGCCUCACUGGGCUCUGCUAUCAUCCAGGCUCUGCUGUCAGAGCUGCCGUAGGAAGUGGUAUUCUGACAACCCGCUCUGGCUAGAAAAGCUUCCCCAGAAUUUUACCAAUCGUUAAUUUUGCCAGCGUUACUUACUACAAGAAGGCCAUCUGUAAGUCAGUCCUGGAUGAGCUGAGGCGGACUAGAAAAUUCCCCACAUACAUGGCCAAUCAGAGCACACCAACCUGGCCUAUCUCCUCUGCUGCCAGAAUGUGAUGGAUGGAGAGGCAGGAAUUUAUGACCAAAACAUCAUCACUGAUGUUCCUUCGGCAGGAGACCAAACCAGAGCCUUUUGGGGGCUACAAUGAUGAUUUCUGGAACAUGGUCUCUGUCUCAGCAUGCUCCAUCCAACAAAAAAAAUCCACAUUUCCCAAUACAUAAAAUACAUGAGUAAAUUGUUUAACACGUCCUCUUCACUCAAUCCCAGCCCAGAGAAGGUGCAACAAAUCUACUGCCUCUACUGCCCUGCCAAAGUGUUCUCCAUCUACAGAGGUCAUAAGAUGGAAAAAGAGAUGAGCUGCAGGGAGUUCCAGCACUCUCCUUUCUAUGAAAAGGUGAAACAAUGGAGUGUAAUGAAACACCUUUUUAUUUUAUCAGGAUUCGUUGAUCGGCUCGGGAAAGAACAAACCACAACUAACUGAAUAUGGCUGAACACACCGUCUUUAUUCAAUGCACAUAAACAGUUACAGUUUCAAACAUUGGCUAUGCACUGUGAAUGUAGCGCUUACCGUGACGCGCUGGGUUGGAGAGCCAGAGUGUGCAUCAACCGGCUGGGCGUCCGUACGAAACCCGCAGCAGACUCUGUCUAGGUGCUUUCGCUCACCCCUCUUUAUCCAAGUCUGUGCGAGCAUGGCCGGCCCCAAAACUCAGGCAUUCGCACACAGAGUUACUGUUUUAACAAAACAGGCGCCAGGCAGCCUAGUUUGGUUAUAUGUGUCCUGUCUUCCUCAGUACAUAACAAGCAUCUGGUAGACAAGGCCAGCAGAUAAUAACAUAGAUACGGUGAAGUCCUGGGAAAUGAAUGUUCAGAACAACACAAACCCAUCACCCUUUCUCACAUGGAGGGCCAAUUAGAUUGGGUUGAAGAACUAUCGAGAUAAGUCGACAUAAGAGAACAUGUGCUUGAGCACAUGUGCUUUUGAGAUAAAGAUGGCGAGCCACCAACGGAACCUGUGAACUGUGCACGUUCAGGAGCAACACGCCCUCUGCUGACCGGUGCAUGGUACUACAACUGUCUUACAGUCUAUAAAGGGAGGAAAAAGUGUAAAGAAAUAAAACUGAGGACAAAAAAGGAUCUAAAGAAGGAGCAUCAGUCCUCAACCAAACUUCUGGAGCUUCCCUUCCUUCCUGUAUGCUGUUAUCUAUCUGUCUAGCUGCACAGAGCUUAGUACGUGUUGUGAGGGCAGAAUAGUCACCGCUUGCAGGCAAGAUUAUUUUAGAAGUUAUGAGAAGAACAAUUCAUAGAUAUUUUUGAAUGAAGUAGUCAUCUUUAUUGUUUGCACAUGCCUAAAAAUAUCUGGAGUUGUACCCAUAAAUGCAUGAAAUCGUUAAUAUUGAUUUAGAUUGAUUGAUUUAGAUUAUGAUUUAGAUUCCAUACGGAUGUCUCUCUGAAUCUGUAUUCAGAGAGACAUCAGUCUGCACUCGUGCACAGGUCAGUAUUACGGUAUUUCAAAUAGUUUUUGUGUCCUCAACACAUCCUGUGCAAAUUCUUCCUCUUUGUUCAAGUUAAUUUCAUACUGUCAGACUAUUUUUUUUAAGUGUUAUUCUUUUUCUUAUCACUCUUUGUACCUUUUGUGUAGUGAACGGGGUGAUAUUUUGUCAUAUUAUUGCUUGUGUUGUACAUGAACGUAUGCAUUCUUAUAUCCUUUGAAGUCGAAUAUGGGAAUAUGGCAGGUGAAAAAAAUUACGAAAAGGCUCACUGUGAUUGGUGUGGAUGUACUACAAACAAGAUGGUCCCACAUGUUGCCAUUCCUUUGCUUUCAACGUCUGCUUUAAUUCAAAUCUUAAAAACUCACGUAUUUCAGAUUUCUCUAGCGGACAGUUAUACUAACAUAAUUUCAAUGAACAUGUGCAUGUACAUUUCGCUGUCACACAAUGUAAUAAAUGAACUGAUUCACAACUACUGACUAAUCUUUUAACCCAGCCUGUGAGGCUUCGCCUCCCUGCCUGGCGGCAUCCACUGUCUGGAACUGAUGUCCAUCUUUGUAAACUUCCCUUGCCA